UUCCUGCAGUUGAAGACAACGGCGGCUUUUCACGCCGCAAGUUUGGGUUAGACUCCCAACAGAAAU
rnacentral:tRNA from 1 species